UUGAAAUGAUGAAAACUUUUUACCAGUUCUGCUUCUGAGACAGAAAUGCAGACACCAACCACUUCUGACAA